rnacentral:lncRNA from 1 species
CAGGAAUAUUUGGGGAGUGGGAUAAAGAAAGGGGAUUGCAAAGAGGUGUUUUUUGGUUUUGUUUUGUUUUUUGAUUUUUUUUUUUUUUUUUUUUGGUGUUUUGUUUUUGAGAUGGAGAGUCUCGCUCUGUUGCUCAGGCUGGAGUGCAGUGGUGAGCAACUCUAAGUUUUCAAACUCAGCUGGUAUUCUGGUAUCAUUCACAACUUGUGUGUUAGUGCUAUCACUGAGCACUUAUCACCUCAGUGCACAAGCCAGAAGAGAGUGGGGACCAAUAUUCAACAUUCUUAAAGAAAAGAAUUUUCAACCCAGAAUUUCAUAUCCAGC